GCGGGGCGCGGUGGCGCAUGCCUGUAGUCCCAGCUAAUCGGGAGGCUGAGGCUGGAGGAUCUCUUGAAUCCAGGAGUUCUGGGCUGUAGUGCGCUAUGCUGAUCGGGUGUCUGCACUAAGUUCGGCAUCAAUAUGGUGACCUCCCAGGAGCAGGGGAACACCAGGUUGCCUAAGGAGGGGUGAACCGGCCCAGGUCAGAAACAGAGCAGGUCAAAACUCCCCUGCUGAUCAGUAGUGGGAUUGCGCCUGUGAAUAGCCACUGCACUCCAGCCUGGGCAACAUAGUGAGACCCCGUCUCU
rnacentral:SRP_RNA from 1 species